AACGAACGCUGGCGGCAUGCCUAACACAUGCAAGUCGAACGAGACCUUCGGGUCUAGUGGCGCACGGGUGCGUAACGCGUGGGAACCUGCCCUUAGGUUCGGAAUAACUCCCCGAAAGGGGUGCUAAUACCGGAUAAUGUCUUCGGACCAAAGAUUUAUCGCCUUUGGAUGGGCCCCCGCUGGAUUAGCUAGUUGGUAGGGUAAAAGCCUACCAAGGCGACGAUCCAUAGCUGGUCUGAGAGGAUGAUCAGCCACACUGGGACUGAGACACGGCCCAGACUCCUACGGGAGGCAGCAGUGGGGAAUAUUGGACAAUGGGCGAAAGCCUGAUCCAGCAAUGCCGCGUGAGUGAUGAAGGCCUUAGGGUUGUAAAGCUCUUUUACCCGGGAUGAUAAUGACAGUACCGGGAGAAUAAGCUCCGGCUAACUCCGUG
rnacentral:rRNA from 1 species